CAUUUGCCUUAAUUACUUAAUAAUCCUAUCAACAAACGCUCCAAACGUACCCUGAAUCUUGGAACUAGUGUUUGGAUUUGGAACGGUUCGGCGCCAAGAAAGUGGGUUCUGCAAUUUCCCUUGAUGAAAGAAUAGUGAAGUGUUUUUGACAACAGAGUCAAUACAUAAACGAUGAACAACACUUUUUCACAAUCUUCAAUCAAAUCAAACAACAACAAACACAAACCUCCUUUCAUGCCAGCAAAGGAUGACACCAAACCUGUGCUUCAAGACCCAAUACUGAGGUCUGAUCCAAUUGAGACAGAGGAAGCUGUGCUGUUAUUACCUCCAUUCUCAAUCCCCAAAUCAACUUCCCCUUCUCAAAUGACCUAAUUGUGUUUUUCAUUUUUGAAACUUUUAUCACUACCCAUGUUAAGUAUUAUCUUUUUCUUUCUGUUUUUGAUAAUGGGUUUUUUAUUUUUUGAGUGUUUUAGCUCACUGGAUGAAAUUCCCUCAUAAACCCUUUCUCUUAAAGAUGUGAUUUUUAUUGCACUGUGCUGAUUUUUCUUAACUGAAUUUCAGUUUUUUUUGUUCUUGUUAGUUGUUAUCAUAGUUGGUCUUGGUUUGAUGCUUGAAGAAAUUGAGGGAUAAGUGGAUUCAUUUUCAUAUGGUUUUGAAUUGUAGUUGCAGUUACGCCGUGAAUCUUUAUAUUGCAGUAAAAUAUGAGCAAGUAUGGCAGCAAUUGUGAUUGUGAUGCCGAUGUGUAGACCUCUAAAACUGUUGUAUUACGGUUGUUAACCGCAAUUUAGAACUAUGAACUUUCCUUGCUCAA